rnacentral:rRNA from 1 species
UACGUAGGGGGCAAGCGUUGUCCGGAAUCAUUGGGCGUAAAGAGCGUGUAGGCGGCUCGGUAAGUCCGCUGUGAAAGUCCAGGGCUCAACCCUGGAAUGCCGGUGGAAACUGUCGAGCUAGAGUCCGGAAGAGGCGAGUGGAAUUCCUGGUGUAGCGGUGAAAUGCGCAGAUAUCGGGAGGAACACCGAUGGCGAAGGCAGCACUCUGGGCCGGUACUGACGCUGAGGAGCGAAAGCGUGGGGAGCGAACAGG